UUCAAGGAGCCUUUUUACCCUAAGGCUAGUAGUCCUGGCUAACUGCUACUUCACUCAGUUUUGGCCAGAGUUAACUUCCCAGCCAGAAAAACCACACCCACCAAGUCUUCAGCAGGACUGGAAAAGUCGGAGGAGACAAGGAAGCGGUGGGACUGGCGUGGGUUCGUCGUAGCGAAUUUUCCAGGGCGCAGGAGGAAGAUCAGGAUGGCAUAAAGCAGACCCAUUGGCAGUUGAGAGUUCAGAGGAGGCUCCCAGGCUGAAAAGACGAGGCUUUACAGCACACAAACGCUACCAGUUCGGGUUGAGGAAAUUUGAAGCUAACUGUCCGGCAUGAUGGAUUCCUGGGCUUCCUAAACGACGGGGAUGGAAGGGGCCUCGAAAAAAUAAGUACCGUCACAUGCUCCGUACCAGAGCUGGUUACUUUCUUGAACACUUUUAACGCUAACUCUGCUUGGAGGUGACAUCAAUUCUCCACGGGAGAAUGAAAGCCUGAGACUACAUUUCCCUGCAAGCCUUUGGAAAAGAAAGCCAGAAGGAAAUAGACUUUCCGUUUCCGUUCGCUUGCAAUUUGGCGUGUUCACGGUGAUACAUAUUUCAACAGCUAGAGUCUUUUCUCUGUACAGCUAAAGAAGAGACUUCAUACCCCAGCAGGUACUGGCACCGAGGGAAAGUGACUAGGUUGCCCAUCUCUACAGCAGUCCUUUCCUACUUAUCCGCAGAGACUAGCCUUAGCGGUUGGACUACAAGUCCCAUAGCAUCGUCUGCUCCUACACCCGCCAUCUUUGCGGUAGUCCCCGCCCCUCUCGCUUCCAUUGUCUCGACAGAAGAUAAAAGAGGGGAGCGGGGACGACUACAAUUCCCGGCUGGCUUUGCACUGCCGAGUGCGGGAUUUUGAUAGUUCAGGCAGGCGAGGCGCUCCAAGUGGUAGAAUGAAGCGACCAGGAAAGGUUAGGUAGCCUGCCAUCUUUAUGGUAGUCUCUUUAUCCUCCUGGUUCUGGCACUCUUAAGGAAUACAGGAAGGCUAGAAAACUACUAUUCCCAUCCCACUUCAUAAAAACCGAUUUAUUAGGUGUACGCCCCUCGUUCGCCAUCUUGCUUGUAGUCCUUGUUCCUUUUCACCUUUCCAUUGUUCCUGACGAGUAGAAAUGGCAGCGGGAAGGCAGCAGAUGGACUGCGACUCCCGUCAGGUACCACACACGCGGAGGGUUGUGGACCAGAGGGCGUGUGAGUGCCUGGAAAGGAGGUCGGGUCGGGAGAAAAGGCCAUCUUGUUUGUAGUCAUCGUUCCCGCUCCUUCUCUAUGUCCUGCUACGGGGAGUCUCUGGUCAACUGGACUAUAAUUCCCGCCAUGCUCGGCUCCCAGCAUGGCAUGCCUUUCGCCAUCUUAGUUGUAGUGCCGGCUGGCCCCAGUAUCCCAUUUUUCCCACGAUAGCGCCAGAAUUUACAGGACUACAUCUCCCGUCGUGCUUUGCACGUGCUUGUCCUGGAAAGUAGAGCUGGUGGAGGAAGG